rnacentral:rRNA from 1 species
AUGGAAAAUCUGUGUAGUUCUUAUUUUGUACAUAUGCUUCUGGUUUCAAGGAGAAUUCUUACUCCUUUUGGAAUUACCAUCUUUAAACAUUGUAGAUCCCAAUCUCUUGUGUAUUUGCAUCAAAUACUGUUUUUCGAAUGCUUAUCAUGUAUAAUACUAAACUCCCUGCCCCCUACUUCUUCUGUCACAUGUGUUGUUCCUUUGUCAUCAGUGGGCUCCAGAAAACACAACUGCAAGGUAGAGAAUAGUUGCCACUUAGUUAGCAUUUUAGUUAGCAGUGUAGACAUGUUAGUAAUACUAUAA